AGAGUUUGAUCAUGGCUCAGAACGAACGCUGGCGGCAGGNUUCAUACAUGCAAGUCGUACGGUUAAAGNUCCUUCGGGAGUGUAUAAAGUGGCGAACGGGUGAGUAACAGGUGGAUAACCUACCUCUUGGCGGGGGACAACAGUUGGAAACGACUGCUAAUACCGCAUACGAUUAUCGAGUCUUAGGGCUUGAUAAGGAAAGGCGCCUUNNGCGUCGCCGAGAGAUGGAUCCGCCCCCCAUUAGCUAGUUGGUGGGAUAAUAGCNCACCAAGGCAACGAUGGGUAGCCGGACUGAGAGGUUGGCCGGCCACACUGGGACUGAGACACGGCCCAGACACCUACGGGUGGCAGCAGUAGGGAAUAUUGGACAAUGGGCGAAAGCCUGAUCCAGCCAUGCCGCGUGGAUGACGAAGGCCUUCGGGUCGUAAAAUCCUUUUAUAAGGGAAGAACAUCACCGGGAGGAAAUGCCCGGUGCCUGACGGUACCUUAUGAAUAAGCAACGGCUAACUCCGUGCCAGCAGCCGCGGUAAUACGGAGGUUGCAAGCGUUGUUCGGAAUUACUGGGCGUAAAGGGAGCGCAGGCGGCCUGGUCAGUCUGAAGUGAAAGCCCGGGGCUCAACCCCGGAAUUGCUUUGGAUACUGCCAGGCUUGAGUACGUGAGAGGUGGGCGGAAUUCCAGGUGUAGCGGUGAAAUGCGUAGAUAUCUGGAGGAACAUCGAUGGCGAAAGCAGCCCACUGGCACGAAACUGACGCUGAGGCUCGAAAGCGUGGGGAGCGAACGGGAUUAGAUACCCCGGUAGUCCACGCCGUAAACGUUGUGCACUAGGUGUGGGAGGUAUCGACCCCUUCCGUGCCGCCGCUAACGCAUUAAGUGCACCGCCUGGGGAGUACGAUCGCAAGAUUGAAACUCAAAUGAAUUGACGG
rnacentral:rRNA from 1 species